CAUAGAAAUGCUUUUCUAAAUAAGAAAAGAGAAUGCUUAAAGAAUUAUCAUUUAACCACUCACAUUAUCUUUUAAAAAGACACUUUGUAUUUAUACUUUCCACACCACUAGCUGUUUAUAUCAACAUUUGGGGGGGGUAAUAAUGUAAAUCAUCCUAAUUAAGAUAUUCUGCCAAAGAUGCCCUAUCACAGUAAAGGAAGGUAAAUGUAGACUCCCGCAAGAGAGGAGUGUAGACCAAACUGGGAAAUUUCUUUGAAGUCUCUGGUUUAUUUAAAAAAUUCAUGUGAAUUUUGCAUUCUGAUCCAUGUUACCUUUUAACCACUGUGCUACUGGGUCGGCCCCCCAUGUUACCUUUUAAAUAUCAAUUUUCUCCUAUUCUCAAAUCUUUGCAUAAAGACGAUACUCCAGGAAGAUACACGAUGUUGAUUUUACGACUCCACCCCUCCACUGGUACACUCAUAAACCCUAGAGGGGACUUAUACCCAAGAUAUAAGUUAGACUUAGGGGAUUUCAGGAGUUAGAACAACUUUCAAGGAGUAUUAAACAAGGAGCUCCCUCCAGAACAUUAGAAUGGCACAAUGAGGAUACUGCAUUCCUGGGCCUUACUCCUGAUGUAUUAAACCAGAAUCUCUGAAGAUGGGGCCCAGGAAUCUUUACUAACAGCUAUCUCAGUGACUGCUUUGCAUACUGGAGUUUGAGGACCAUGAUAUCAAGAGGCUUUUCCUUUAUCCCCUAUCUAUCUUUGUCAAUUUAUGAGUUAGAAGUAGUUUCUGUGAGCCAAAUAAACUAAAAUGAGGACUGAUGGAAAAUGUGAUCUCUAUCAGUUCCCUGAUGUCGGCUAACCAAGAGCUAGUAGACUAGAGAAGGAUAUUUAAGUUCUUUCUAAGCUAUCAAGAAAGCAGAGAGAGUCCUUUCAAGGCUUAAUCACAGGGCACAGGGUACAUUUAGAUGAGGAAACUCAGGCAUUCUCCCCUUUACUUAAAACUCAGGUGUUUCAGCUUUUCUCCUCUUCCUUAUAAAAGCUAAGCCACGCAGCACAUUUUGUUGAAAAUUAUGUGAACUGAAUUUUUAUGAAGUCAGCUACAUUUCAAAUGCACUAAAGGACAUAUUAAUAAAAUUCUAUCUUUAAUUUUAAUCAACUCUGGCUAAACGCAAAACUACAAAUUCUUAUACAAUAAUUGGCAUAGUGAAUAUUGGUUUCCUUCCUUAACUACACAUCAUACUAUUAAAUACAUGUCAAUAAUUGUGAAGUUCCUUUGAGAAAUCUUUAAGAAUUCUGUUUAACAGAAGACUAUUUAACGAUGAAAAAAUGUAGUAAUGUUUGUGAAAAAAGAAGUCUGGGCAGUAUAAAUAUAAUUUAAAAUUAUAUUCAUGCCUGAAAAUUAUUGAAAGGCUCUUCAAUUAAGUCUUAACAAUAGUUAAUGCUGGGUAAUGACAUCACAGAUGAUAUCUGUUUUAUUCCGUGUGCAUUUCUUUUUUUAUUUUUUAAAUGAAGAGAGUUACUGGGAGCAAUGGUGCAAGAGGCCAAUUUUACUUCCAUCCCCUCAUCCCUAGACCCAUGUACUUUAGCUAUUGAGGUGUAGCACCAUUUAUCAGCUGUUGGCUCAGUGCAUCUGAGCACAUUUGAUCUUUUCAAAUGUUUUACAACGAAAGUUUAUUACCUUAAAUUAAGAACAGUUAUUUCAAAAAUUAACACCAGGUAAUGUUUUGUUUGCCCUGAGGAAUUCUUUUGGGUUUUUUUCCAGUGUGAUAAUGAGUAUGAUAUUGACUAUACUGAAGCUCAGACCUAAAGUCAAACCCUCGUAAUUUGCACAGAGUUUACCACUUUUUUGGUCCUUAUUUUCUUUUUUAUGCUCCAUUUUUCACCUGUGUAUAUUUUUGUGGUAAGCAGAGAAAAAAGCAGGGCACUAAAUGAGUAAGCAGAACUACGAUAUAAGCUCUGAGGCCACAAGGCCUGUUAAUCAACAUGGGUGUAGCUGAUGAUGUCUUCCUCCCAAAUGCAGAGGUCAGCUGGGAUUUAAAAAUCAGAAAGCACAAACAAGUAGUUAAUACAAAAUUUUAAAGACAGCCUGUGAGAAAGCAGGUAGGUACAGUUUGAAAAACAGGAAAGGCUUACCAAAUUUUUUCUAUGAAUUAUAAUAAAGGAACAUAUUACCAAAGAAAUUUUUUUCACCUUUUGAAUAAACAUUUAAGUCUGUAUCAUCUAGUUAUUUGCUAAUGUUUACUCAAACUUUAGUAAUUUCCUUUAAUAUGAGUUCUUUUAUUUCUUGAAGAAGCACCUGCUAAUUUUUAAUUUUUAAAAAAAUAUUCUGUUCUCUUCAAGUGAUUUAAAAUGUCCCAGGGAAGGGGUGGUGAAAAUUCUUUGUCCUUUAAGAAGUAAAUUGAUCUGAGCAAAUAUGAAACUGUAGGGCUGAGCAAAAGGGAUCCAGGGUUAACUUAAUAUUGACUAAUAAGGGAGGGGAGAGCAGUGAGUUAGAAACUUGACCGUUGCUACUGUUUUUCUCGAUUAUAAAGAAACUAUCAUAGGGUUGGAUUAAGACUUAUUAAAGUGUACAUUGUGAAGGGGCAGUGUACACAGAAUGAUUUUUCCCAUUGUUUCUGUUUUUUAAAACAUAAGAACUCUGAAGUAAUCGUAUAGGUACAGGAAAGCAGUUUGAGGUAUCCCCUGAGAGUUGUAGGAUCUUCAAGAGAGGGCUAGUUAGCUAGCUAGCAGGAAAAAGCAGCACUUUCAUUGCCUCUCCACUCGCACCAGCUGAAAGAGAAAGUGCCUUCAGAGCUUUUAAAGGCUGAGAACAAAUGGCUGGAGGCCCUGGGCAGGUUAAAGUCUGAGGCUUUCGCACGUAAACCAGGAGACCCCUUGAGAGUAUCUUGACCAUCUUUAUACCCCCGCAAUGCCUUGUACAGUGCCUGGUACACGACUGGUGAAUGACUGAACAAAGGAAGGCCAACUGAGCCAGUGCCAGGGAAGGCAGCAGCAGACAGAAAACAGCACCAGAGGUCCUGGAAAGCAGUUCUUCAGUGACGACUGCUUUCAUCUAAAGGAAACUGGGUCUUAAAGAAGCAGCUGAGAAUCAUAAGAUGUGGUCGUGGUUGAGAUGGUAUCUACUGCAAGAACGCCCACCACUGUAGAUGUGGUUGUGUGUGUAUGGGGCGGGGGCGUGGUGCUAGUGGUGCACAGAUGCACAUGGGCAACGAUUUCCUGCUGGCAGUGUGAUGCAAAGCACAAGAAACACCACCUCUAGAGUGUGUCAUUUUCAAACCAUAAAAGAUUGAAAUCAUAUAUGUGUAUGUACAGCAGUGUUUAUUAAAAAAAAAAGGAGGGGGAGAGGGGGCAGGGGGUGAGAGAGAAAUAAUAAUCUAUCCUGACGUCUGCUUCACUGCUGCUUUGGGAAAUGUCUCCAGCUGGUAGUUAGGCAAGCAAGCUGGGUAGAGAUGCGUGAUAAUAACUGGGCCCAGCACUUGUGGCUACAGGUAGAGAGGCAGCACGAAAGACGGCUAUGGUGGCAACAGUAACCGGGAACUAUCUUCUAACUGUACCCCACACACACCACAGCGGGUAUUCCCUUGGGUUCAAAUCCAUGGUCUACUAUCAACAGGUUGAGUGAUUUGGGAACUGGAUACUUCCCCUACAUGACAUGCAUUUUUCUCAUCCAUGAAAUCAGGAUAGGAGGUGACAUAUAGACUAAAUCAUCUCCAAAGUGUCUCAAAUGAACUUGGAUGUGAACAAUUCAAAGCACUGGCUAUAUCAGGAAUGGCAAACAGAUUUCAAUUUGAAUGCCAAAUCUCAUCUACAGCCAUACUGAAAAGGAUUCUGAGGCAGUGUCUGGUCUUAGUGGGCAACAGUGCUAUCAUCUAUUAAGUGAUGUCCUCAUGGCUACAGGAGGCUUAUAUUCCAAAGGCCAUGAUGAAUUAGCAUUUGAAAGGACAGUCUGAAUUUUACUGGCAGGUUUACUUUUCUAAUGAUAUUCUGUUUAGGCUAGUAUUAUAAUUAUAUAAUUUAUGUUUCUAAAGCCACAUAGCAACUAGAAGGAGGACUGGGCUUGUAAAAUCAUUUUGGAGAAACAAAGUUGAGAUUUUAAAUUUGCAAUUGAUAAUCCAGCAAAUGGAAUAAAAGCCAUUACAUGGUAAAUUCCUUGAGGGCUGGGAUUAUGUUUCAAUCUCCCUAGGAUUCCCUUCAUAUCAUUGUCCCAAGCAGUUACCCACACUUAAUAGGUGCUCAAUUAAAUUUCACUGCAUUAAAUAAUGAAGAGUUGUAGGAAUAAUUCCCUCCUAAGGAAUGAGACUACUAACAAGAGAUUUCUGUCCUCUUUUAGAGGCAUAGGUGGUGUGGUGAAUAAGGGAAUUAAAACAUAUUCAUUAUCUGUUACGAGCUAGGAAGAUUA